rnacentral:rRNA from 1 species
UACAGAGGUCUCAAGCGUUGUUCGGAUUCAUUGGGCGUAAAGGGUGUGUAGGUGGCGCGCUAAGUCGGGUGUGAAAUUUCGGAGCUUAACUCCGAAACUGCAUUCGAUACUGGCGUGCUUGAGGACUGGAGAGGAGACUGGAAUUCAUGGUGUAGCAGUGAAAUGCGUAGAGAUCAUGAGGAAGACCAGUGGCGAAGGCGGGUCUCUGGACAGUUCCUGACACUGAGACACGAAGGCCAGGGGAGCGAAACGGG